UCACGCCAGCAGCUUCGAGAUUGUCGAGAGUGACAUUCUUCCACAACUUCCAACGGUCACUGAGUAUGAUGGGUUCAAUCCCGAGCUCUAUGAUGUUUUGGUAAAGAUGCAAGGCCUCCGGGAGUCCAGGGGUUGAUGCUCCGGUCCCUAACCACAACCAGUACGCCCCCGGGUCGGUCUUCUCUGUUCUAAGAAUCCAAAAAAAAAAAAAGUAGUUCAAAAUGAAAUCACAAAGUAAGAUAUAUAUGAAAAAAAACAUUUAGGUCAGUACUGAAACUAUUUAGAGUUGCAAAUAAUAUAUAUAAAAUAAAACCGAAACGUGCAUAUAGUGAUAUCUAAACCAUUAAAAAAAAAAUAUGAAGAUAAUAUUGUUAAUGCAAUGGAGGUGGUGUGGGUAGAACUAAUAAUGAUAAUUAUGCGUAUAUAUACCCGUAUCCAUAUUUUGCGUAGUAGGGAAUACUAGAGAGGAGGGUAUCAUCUAGGUCAAAGAUCCAAACAUUGACGGUGUCGUUCUUUAGGGCAAGUCCUUUGGCAUAGAAAUAAGCCUCUUUGCACACGGUUUUGGAGUCGUAUUGGUACUGUUUGGAAGUGAUCAAGUAGUCUUCAACAUAGUCUUUGCAAUUUGCGGGCACCGUGUCGAAGUCUAUGAUGUUAGAGGUCUCAACACCAAGGUGCCAGCUUCUGCAGUUGGCGUAGUUGAUGGAAAGUUUCUCUUUCUCUAAGAGUUCGGCUACGUUCCCAAAGAUGGUUUUCGAAUCGACGAGUUCGAUGAGCCCUGGAACGGAUGCCGAGACCGUAGCGGCCAAGAGCAAGAGAAGUGAAAGUGAGAGGAUUUUCAUGUUUUUUAUGGUAUGGUUUAUUGUUUAGUUUGUGAUGUUUAUAUGUGUGACGCAAAGGGUGGUAUUUAUAAUGAGGUGGGGUUAUGAGAAAUGAUUAAGAAGCCAGAUGAGAAAUGAGGAGAUAUGUGUGCUUGUCUGUUUUCGAUUGGUGCAACAAAUGCUACUGGUCCCAUAAUGUUUAUAAUCGACGAUAUUUUUCACUUACACCACUCGUUUUUAGUGCACGUUGAGAUUGUGUGCUUAACUAGAAUUUGGCGUUUUGUUGUUCUAUUAUCUUUGGCUUAUCUGCUUGUAAAUUUUGAAUUAGAGUUUCGUUUUGGAGAAUACUGUAAAGUUGUUCUACAUUACUAGAAAAAUGUAUUGAAUAUGUUGAUGUGAGUAUAAUUUGUGUUUGCGGAAAUAAUAUAUAGAGUAAAUGUUUCAUUUUUUUUUUUUUGAUAAAUAAUUGAUAGAGUAAUUGGGAAAACCAAUAAAAUGCAAAACGAGUAAUUGACAACAGGUUCCACAGUGAGCGAGAAGAGAUGGGUGUACUGUGAAUAAUAUAAGAGAUGAGACAUGACGAUAAGAAAUGUGAGGUACACAAGAAUAGACGUUAAAUAAUUGUUACGUAAAGUCGUAACAUUAAAUAAUUCAAUAAAUUAGCAAACAUAUAUAGCUGUAUCACUAUUCACUAGUUGUUGACAAAUAUUUGAAUAACGAUUUUCAUGCCCGAGAUUGGGAACAGUUUCUAAUUGCCACCAAGAUUUUCCACAAAAAGUUGUAUCUUGGUGAUAGCUAUAGUUUCAACGAUAAUUGUCCAGUCUUCCAACAAUAUUGUUAUAUAUUUUUUUCUAAUGCAUAUAACCUCAUGACGAAAUAUUUAAGUAGUUUAAUAGAAUUUUUAUAUAUCAAAAAGUAUAUAUAGUGUUGCAAACCAAGUUGUGGUACACUACAAGAGAACAAAACCCUUUUCGACAGACUUUUCGACGAUAAAUAAACGGUCGAAAAUUUUCGACGGUUUCGUAAUGGUAUUCCGACGGUUUUCUGACGACAUGUUUUCCGUCAAAAUGUCGUCGAACUUUUCUGACGAAUUCUAAAUGAUCGACAAUUCAUCAGUCAUUUCCAACGAAACUCCGACCAAAUUAAAUCCGACCAAAUUAAAUCCGACCAAAUGUUUCGACGGAUUUCCGACCAAAAUAUAUCCGUUUUGAUCCCUAGAAUAUUCAUCAGAAUAUUCUGCACUUUUCCGACGGAAUUCCAACGAAAUACACUCGGUCAAGUAGCUACUCGGUCAAUUCGCCGCACGGUCACAUAGCCGUGCAUUUUUUUAUUUUAAAAAAUAAAUAUUCAAAAUUUCCGUCGGAAAUUCGUCGCCAAAACCCGUCGGACGUCCGUCGAAAACCCGUCGAAAACAUUGAUAAUUCUCAUCUUUAUAUUUUUCUACCAUCAUUCACAAAAUCGUCCAAGCAGCAACAAAAUAUAACCAGAGAGAAAUGGCUUCUUCAAAUCCGUUUAAUUAUUUUCGAUCAUGGAUGGACCAGCCCAUGCGUGAUCCGCUAACGGAGUUACUAAUGCCGGAAUAUGCAGAAGGUCUUAAACAAUUCAUGGCAUUCGCGACAAAUCAACCGGUAACCAUCGAAUCAAAAAAAAUGUGUUGUACAUGUCGGAAUUUUGGAGUUCUUCAUGUAUCUCAAGUUUGGAUGCACUUAUAUGGGGAAGGGUUUAUGUCGGGGUACAAAGUUUGGUUCAUGCAUGGAGAGAAUGAGUCAAUGGUGAAUUAUGGUAGUUGUAGCGAAUAUUAUCCUGUUGAUAGGUUAGUGGAACCAAAUCCGGAAGUAGAUGCAAAUGUAGGUACCGUUCAGAUGGUAAAUGAUGCUUUUCGUGAAAAUGUACACUCGUUUGAUGGGGAUAGUGAUAGAGUAGAGGAACCUAAUUUAGAAGCACGGAAGUUUUUUGAUAUGUUAGAUGCAGCAAAAUAUCCCUUAUAUAAAGGAUGUAAAAAGGGUCAUUCGCCUUUAUCUGCUGCAACUAAGUUGAUGGGUAUCAAAACGGAUUAUAAUUUGUCCGAGGAUUGUGUGGAUGCGAUUACUGAUUUUGUGAAAGAUUUAUCACCCGAAGAUAAUCUUGCACCGGGAACAUACUACGAGGUGCAGAAAUUGGUAGCUGGUCUUGGUUUACCGUAUCAGGUGAUAGAUGUGUGCAUUGACAAUUGUAUGUUGUUCUGGAGAGAAGAUUCAGAUCGUUUGACAUGUAAGUUUUGUCGCAAACCUCGGUAUCGGGAAACAAGUGGACGAGUCCCAAUUCCAUACAAACGGAUGUGGUAUUUACCAUUAUCAGAGAGGUUGAAGAGGUUAUAUCAAUCUAAGCGCACAGCCGGGCCAAUGAGAUGGCAUGCAGAGCACACAACAGAAGGAAAAAUUACGCAUCCUUCUGAUGCAGAAGCCUGGAAACAUUUUCAAACAGUGCAUCCUAGCUUUGCUUCCAAACAAAGGAACGUAUAUCUUGGAUUAUGUACAGAUGGAUUCAAUCCCUUUGGAAAGCAUGAGAGGCAGUACUCAUUGUGGCCUGUUAUCGUGACACCUUGCAACUUGUCGCCAUCAUUAUGCAUGAAACGAGAGUUUCUAUUUUUGACCAUCCUCGUUCCUGGCCCACAUCAUCCAAGAAGAUCACUCGACGUGUUUCUACAACCACUUAUAUACGAGUUACAAAUGUUAUGGGAGCAUGGUGUUGAAGCGUUUGAUGUUUCAUCCCAACAGAAUUUUGUCAUGCGUGCGGCACUUAUGUGGACCAUCAGCGGCUUUCCUGCAUAUGGUAUGUUAUCUGGAUGGACAACGCAUGGAAGGUUAUCGUGUCCGUAUUGUCAAAAAUAUGAAUAUAAUCAGCUAGUAAUAUACUUUGUAAUUUUAUUUUAGAUUUAGAUUGUUAGAUUUAGGUUCAUAGAUAUUAUAGAUCACUUACGUGACAAACCGUGGUUAUAGAUCACUUGCAUGAACCACGAUUUGUAUUUUUCGUUUUUUAAUUUAUUAAUCAUAUGUUCCUCUUCGUCUUUGCUGGUGACUUGUGAUGGAGUAUGUUUUAGAAACCUCAACGAAUUUAAUCUCAUAUUUUAGUUUAAUAAAUUGUUAUUUACGUGUCUUCUGAAUUUUCCAUUUAAAAAUAAAUUAUACUUAGAUAUUUAUUUUGCUAUGGUAUCUAUUGGUUUUUUGACAUUACAAAUUUUGAUUAUAUUAAACUGUGUAUUAUUAAUAUUAUUUUAUUUUUUAGGACUUCUUACCAAGAUUUUCGUAGGUCUGAGACUCGAUCCAAUAAUCAGGCGCACUCGACAACACCAUCACCAUCGUCCGUUCCCGAGUCGCAGCAGUCUGCGGCUCGUCCACCAAUGACAGUUGAGGAGCUAGUACAACAACCGGGGCGAACACUUCUCCGACGACUCCAUCCAAAAAGGCGUGAAAAAGGGAGCACAUGGUAAGUAAAUUUUGUUCUCUGUUUUUAAUAUAUAAAGAUUUUAUAGUAUAAAUUAUAUUAUUUAUCUCUAUAUGUAGGUUUGGUUAUUCUAAAAAUGGCAUAUCCAAAUCGAUUUUACGGAUGUUGCAUGGAAUGCUCAAACAUCUGUAUCCGAAGUACAAUGAUAUGCUUCGCGAUGAUCAAGAGCUUUGGUUUAGAACUUUUGCGGUAAUGAAUUUAUUAUUACGUACCAUUAUUUUGUUUGUUUUUUCUAACAUAAUUCUUUUUGUUUGUAGCAUGAAUUCAAUAGGGAUCAUGUCCUCACACCCACUGUCCGUAUCGCGUUUAACAAGUAUGCUGCAUCAAAAUUUGCAGACCACAUGAACAUUUGGAAGGGAAAGUGGGCAGCAGGCAAGGAGUGUCCAAGAGGCUUGAACCCAGACAUAUGGCCUCGCUAUAAAGAGUAUUGGGCGUUGCCGGAGACUGCUCGUACCGCGGAAACCAACUCAUAAAACCAGAAAAGAGAGCGUGGUGGCAAAGGUGUGGCGGUGCACAAUGCGGGUUCGACGAGCUUCUUAAGUCGUACAGACGAAUUGGUAAGUCUUUUACUCUUAUUUAAUUUCAUGUUUUCUUUUAAUUUAACUAUAUUUUUUUAUUUGAUUUAUAGACGGAGAAGAACGGAGGUGUGAAACCUGAUUUUGUAGAAAUCAUUGAGGAUACACACACCAACAAGAAAACUGGAUUAAUUCAAGACGGUUACAUCGCGGGUCUUGUUGAGACAUUGAAGAGAAGGAAGACGGAGUGCCUCACACAGCUUCCCCAAAAUGAUGAUGGAUCCUCACCAUCCAACGUCCAGGCCCGAGAAAAAAUUAACCGCAUGGUUCUUGAGGUAAGGUUUGUUUCAUAGCAUACAUUUUUGUAUAAUUUUUAAAAAAUUACUAAUAGUUGUUAUAUACAGGAAGUUCCGUCAAACCGGAGUCGUGUGGUAGGAUUAGGUAGCCUAAACGAAAGCACCAAAGAUUUUUAUGACGGCCCAUCACGGGAUUCUGAGAUCCUUGCAGAGCUUGAGGAGAAAGACAAGGAGAUCUUAGCUUUGAAGGAGCAAAACAUGAAGAUUCUUGACUUCAUGCGUUCCAAAUUUCCUGAUUUUCCUGAUGAUCUAUAAAUGCUUUUAUUUAAAUUUAAUUUUGUUGUUUUGUCAAACAAUUUUAUUUUCUUUCGUAGGAUAAUAUAUGUAUUUUUAAAAUAUUUAUUUUAUAAUAUUUUAAGAAAGAAUUUUCUAUAAAAUUUAAUUUAAAUUAAUAAAAAUAUUGGUAAUUAAAUUAGACCCGUCGGUAAUACAGACAAUGUCAGUAACCCGUCGGAAAAUACAACAACAUCAGUAACCCGUCGGAAAAUAUAACAACGUCAAUAACCCGUCGGAAAAUACAACAGUCAGUAACCCGUCGGAAAUACUUCGUCGGGAAUCCAUCGGGAAUAAUGUUGUCGGGAAAUCGUCGAAGACGAUACCGACCGAUUUUCAACAACGUUCUGAUGCAAUGCCUGACAACAAUAUUCGUUAGAAAAUAGUCGAAAACUAUUUCCGACGAAGAUCCAACGAUCAUUUUCGACGAUGUUCCAACCAGUUUCGCAACCAAUGUUAUCGUCAGAAAAGCGUAGAGAAAUUGUCGGAAAAUACCUCGUCGGAAACCCGUCGGUAAUUUGUAACACGUUUCCAACGACAUUCAGAUUUCCGACAAGAUAGAAUCGACCAAUCUAUGUUGUCGAAAUGUCGUCGAAUACGGCUAUUUUUAACGGUAUUUCGACGAUUUCGUCCGUCGGAAAGAGCCUAUAUUCUUGUAGUGGUAGAAUAGUAGUUUCCAUUUGAAAUAUGAAGUCUUCAUGUGCGUAUAGUUUAGGGAUUAAAAUUCUUCAACUAUUUAAAUUAUUCGGUCUGAAAGUACCCUGGUUAACAACAAAAAAAAAAAGUUGCAACGACAAAAGUUUAUGUUUUUAUUUCAUAAAAACUAUUGACCAAACAUCUGAUGUCAAAGAAAAAAAAAACUAUAUUACCAAACAACAUAUACUUUAAUCACUCUAAAGGGAAUGUAGUUAAAACUCGAAUCAUAUUAAGAUGAUGUGUUCCCAACUAAUAUCAAUCCUAAGGAUUAGUCGGUUUAAACAUUGGUUUCAUCAUAUAACGUAAAGGAAUGAGUGUUAUACCACUACCAGCUUAACGUAAAUGGUGAGAAGAUAUUCAUAGAAAAUGAUAGUCUAUACUCUAUACAUGAUUAAAGAGAUUGGUAUAGUGUUGUGUUAACUGUUAUAUUUACAUGGAGAUAUCAUUUCAUGGAAACUUGAUUAAUGAUCCCUUUAACGAAAAACAAAAUUUAGUACGAAGUCGUUGUACUUAUUGAGUUAUGAUAGGAUUGGCAUUUUAUUUAAGCAGUGGUGCCAAAACGGCUACAAAGAUAAACGAAACGACAUAGAUAUGAAAUGGAUACAAGGGGACAAUGCCAUGAAGAUAGAUGCUUAAUUAAGAAGGUACGUAGUAGAGUGGAUUUGGGAGCUUAAAAACCCUUCCAGGAGUAUCCUCAACCAAAUCAGCCCAUUGGUCUCCAAUAUUCCCAACGAUGUUGUACCCUUUCUUCACAAGGCUAUUCCUAACCUUUGACUUGUACACCACUUGCGUCAACUUCGAUCCGUUUGGCCUGCGUUUCCAUAUAUAGUCCUCGAUAUUCAAUCACAUAUGACAUUAUUUGCUAUAUAUAACUAAGCUACUUGAUUAAUUCUUACUUGAGUAUGAGAUGCUUCCAUUUUGUUACACCAACAGCCUUGAGAUUCUCGACAGUGACUUCUGACAAUUUUUUCCAUCUGUCAGAGAUUAUGAUGGGUUCAAUCCCGAGUUCCAAGAGGUUUUCGUAUAGAUGCAAGGUCUCCGGGAGUCCUGGAGUUGAUUCUCCGGACUCUAACCACGACCAGUACGCCCCCGGGGCUGUGUUCUCGGUCCUAAGAAUCCAACAAAAAAAAAUCUACAUUAGAAUGAAAUCACAAAGUAGAUAUGGACCCAAAAAAACAGUUAGAUGGGUUAGUUAAAAUAUUUAAAGUUGUCAAAUGAAACGUGUCUUUCCAUAUAUGACAGCUAAACAUUUUCAAAAAAACUAUAUGACGAUAAUAUUAUUAAUUCAAUGUAGAUAGGUACAAUAAUAUGUAUAUACCCAUAUCCAUAUUUAGCGUAGUAGGGAAUACUAGAGAGGAGAGUGUCGUCUAGGUCAAAGAUCCAAACAUUGACGGUAUCGUUCUUUAGGGCAAGUCCUUUGGCGUAAAAAUAUGCCUCUUUGUUUACAGUUUUGGAGUCGUAUUGGUACUGUUUGGAAGUGAUCAAGUAGUCUUCAACAUAGGCUUUGCAAUUUGCGGGCACCGUGUCGAAGUUUAUGAUGUUAGAGGUCUCAACACCAAGGUGCCAGCUUCUGCAGUUGGG
rnacentral:lncRNA from 1 species